rnacentral:rRNA from 1 species
UAUAUGAAGGUAAAUAUAGUUUAACCUGCUCACUGAUUAAUUUAAAGAGCCGCAGUAUUCUGACUGUGCGAAGGUAGCAUAAUAGAUUGUCUUUUAAAUGGAGGCUGGAAUGAAUGGUUGGACAAAGUACUAUCUGUUUCUAAGAUAAAAUUUGAAUUUAACUUUUAAGUUAAAAGGCUUAAAUAAAAUAGAAAGACGAUAAGACCCUAUAAAUCUUUACAAUAUGAUAUUUUAAUUUUUUAAAUUAUAAGUUUAUAAAAUGUAAAAAUAUAAUACUUGUUACGUUGGGGCGGCGUAGAUAUAUAAUUUAACUGUCUAUGGUUUAAAUUCAAAUAUAGUUGUUUAUAUUAAUUGAUCCUUAUAAAGAUUAGAAGAUUAAGAUACUUUAGGGAUAACAGCGUUAUUUUUUCUGAGAGUUCAUAUCGAAGAAAAAGUUUGCGACCUCGAUGUUGAAUUAAAGUUCCUUUAUGGUGUAGCAGUUAUAAUAGGCAGUCUGUUCGACUUUUAAUACUUUACGUGAUCUG